CUGGCGGCGUGCCUAAUACAUGCAAGUCGAACGGUCUUUCUAUGGAAGCUUGCUUCCACUGAGAAGAUAGUGGCGAACGGGUGAGUAACACGUGGGUAACCUGCCCAUAAGAGGGGGAUAACAUCCGGAAACGGGUGCUAAUACCGCAUAGUUUUCUUGAUCGCAUGAUCGGGAAAGGAAAGACGGCCUUUGUGCUGUCGCUUAUGGAUGGACCCGCGGCGUAUUAGUUAGUUGGUGAGGUAACGGCUCACCAAGACGAUGAUACGUAGCCGACCUGAGAGGGUGAUCGGCCACAUUGGGACUGAGACACGGCCCAAACUCCUACGGGAGGCAGCAGUAGGGAAUCUUCCGCAAUGGACGAAAGUCUGACGGAGCAACGCCGCGUGAGUGAAAGAAGGUUUUUCGGAUCGUAAAACUCUGUUGUCAGAGAAGAACAAGUUGGAGAGUAACUGCUCCAGCCUUGACGGUAUCUGACCAGAAAGCCACGGCUAACUACGUGCCAGCCGCCGC
rnacentral:rRNA from 1 species